rnacentral:rRNA from 1 species
GAUGAACGCUGGCGGCGUGCCUAACACAUGCGAGUCGAGCGAACGGCCGAGAUUCUUGCUUCUCUGAUGUUAGCGGCGGGCGGCUGAGUAACGCGUGGAUAACUAACGUAUGAGACUGGGGUCUCUUCCGGGAAGCUUAGCUAAUAACGCAUAAUCUUUUGACGCGUAUGCUUCAAACGUCACAUGCGGUCUUGCUGUCACUUAUAGUGGUAUCAGCGCUGCAUUAGCUAGUUGGUAAGGUAACGGCUUACCAAGGCAACGAUGCAUAGCCGACCUGAGAGGGUGAUCGGCCACACGGGAACUGAGAGACGGUCCAGACUCCUACGGGAGGCAGCAGUAGGGAAUCUUCCGCAAGGGGCGAAAGCCUGACGGAGCAACGCCGCGUGAGUGAUGAAGGACUGCGGAUCGUAAAACUAUGUUAUUAGGGAAGAACAUAUGUGUAAGUAACUGUGCACAUCUUGACGGUACCUGAUCAGAAAGCCACGGCUAAAUACGUG